GUGUAGACUAUGAUUAAUUUAGGG
rnacentral:snRNA from 1 species